UACAGGGGGGGCAAGCGUUGUUCGGAAUUACUGGGCGUAAAGGGCUCGUAGGUGGCCAACUAAGUCAGACGUGAAAUCCCUCAGCUUAACUGGGGAACUGCGUCUGAUACUGGAUGGCUUGAGUUUGGGAGAGGGAUGCGGAAUUCCAGGUGUAGCGGUGAAAUGCGUAGAUAUCUGGAGGAACACCGGUGGCGAAGGCGGCAUUCUGGACCAUAACUGACACUGAGAGACGAAAGCCAGGGGAGCAAACGGG
rnacentral:rRNA from 1 species